rnacentral:ncRNA from 1 species
GGCAGCGGCCGCGACUGGCGCUUGGGUGGGGGACCACCGGGGAGCGGCCGACCUGAGACUCGGUCGCGCGCCUGGGCCAUCCGC